GGAAGUGAUAUAAAAAAUGGUCUAUAUAUUUUGCAUCACUUCCUCUCUCCUGUCUCUUUUCUCAGAGAGGUGGCUCUGGCUCUUUUGGUGGAGAGGUGGCUGGUGGCAGUGUGCUGGGCAUCUUGGCGUCUUGGCAUGGCUGCAGCUAUUGUCCAGGUUUGGCGGUGAGAGUCCUUGAUACAAUACUGGGAGAAGCUUAGUAGCGUGGUUCAGGGGAAGAUGACUUUGGCAGCUUCCUGGUGCCACCUCUGGGGAAGGACGAUGCCAAGGAACUGGCUCUGGCUGGAGAAGGAUGACUGGGGCGGCCGGUGGCAUCUAGCUGAAGGGAAUGGACGUGUUCAGCCAAGACAAGAGAAGACUUGGGCAACAACCUUGAGCUGCCUUCAGAGAGAUCUUCCUGUGUCUUGGAAUCUUUCAUAGUCUUCACUUCUUCACUGAGUGGAAGAUAGAAUCUGGCCCAUCGCCAUCAGCCUCUUCUCAUUGGCGCUGCUGAUUCACUGGACUUUCUCUCCCGUGCCCCUGGAAGGGGAAGAGGGUACCCCGGACCUCUCCUCUCAUUCCUUUCCAUUCACUUUAAUGUUUUUUCUUCCCCAUUAGAAUGUGAGUUUCUUGAGGGCUGGGACCACCCUUUCUGCUUCUGCUUGUAUUCUCUGCUUUUAGGACCAGUUUUUUCAGACAUUCCCUAUAAUCUAUUCAUUAAAAAAAUAUCCUAUGA
rnacentral:lncRNA from 1 species